CCUAUUGUUGAUGCACCAUCGGUAUUGCACGAAUCAACUUGUCUUACAAUUUCUAAUAAUAGUCAAAUAUGUCAACAACCGUACAUUAAUCUAAUCUUUUUUAGCGAUACUGAUAAGUCGUUGUUGUAUGUUUGGAGGGAUAGCAUAGCGGCAUGAAUUCUCCUCGUAACUUAAUAGAUCAAUUACAAAGUUCCUUCGAAGAAUCUUUGUAUCCUACACACAAAGACAUAAGAGAACAAAACGUCAAAUUUAUAUUAUGUAACUGAAAUGUAUGUUUGAACAUGAACCAAACAUACUCCACUCACCCUAUUAAAUUCCA
rnacentral:lncRNA from 1 species